UGGGGAAUAUUGGACAAUGGGCGAAAGCCUGAUCCAGCCAUGCCGCGUGUGUGAAGAAGGUCUUCGGAUUGUAAAGCACUUUAAGUUGGGAGGAAGGGCAGUAAGCGAAUACCUUGCUGUUUUGACGUUACCGACAGAAUAAGCACCGGCUAACUCUGUGCCAGCAGCCGCGGUAAUACAGAGGGUGCAAGCGUUAAUCGGAAUUACUGGGCGUAAAGCGCGCGUAGGUGGUUCGUUAAGUUGAAUGUGAAAGCCCCGGGCUCAACCUGGGAACGGCAUCCAAAACUGGCGAGCUAGAGUAGGGCAGAGGGUGGUGGAAUUUCCUGUGUGGCGGUGAAAUGCGUAGAUAUAAGAAGGAAAACAAGUGGCGAAGGCGACCACCUGGGCUCAUACUGACACUGAGGUGCGAAAGCGUGGGGAGCAAACAGG
rnacentral:rRNA from 1 species